GACAGAGGUGCCGAGCGUUAGGCGGAAUCACUGGGCUUAAAGCGUGUGUAGGCGGAUCGUUAAGUGCCUUGUGAAAUCCCACGGCUCAACCGUGGAAUGGCUGGGCAUACUGGCGUAUCUUGAGCCACUUAAGGGCAAGCGGAACAAACGGUGGAGCGGUGAAAUGCGUAGAUAUCGUUUGGAACGCCAACGGUGAAAACAGCUUGCUGGGAGUGCGCUGACGCUGAGACACGAAAGCCAGGGGA
rnacentral:rRNA from 1 species